rnacentral:rRNA from 1 species
GGGAAMGAWUGAGUGCUAGUGUUGGAGGGUUUCCGCCCUUCAGUGCUGCAGCUAACGCAUUAAGCACUCCGCCUGGGGAGUACGACCGCAAGGUUGAAACUCAAAGGAAUUGACGGGGGCCCGCACAAGCGGUGGAGCAUGUGGUUUAAUUCGAAGCAACGCGAAGAACCUUACCAGGUCUUGACAUCCUUUGACCACUCUAGAGAUAGAGCUUCCCCUUCGGGGGCAAAGUGACAGGUGGUGCAUGGUUGUCGUCAGCUCGUGUCGUGAGAUGUUGGGUUAAGUCCCGCAACGAGCGCAACCCUUAUUGUUAGUUGCCAUCAUUCAGUUGGGCACUCUAGCAAGACUGCCGGUGACAAACCGGAGGAAGGUGGGGAUGACGUA